GCGCCCUCCCCGCCCCCGCCCCCCGCAGCGGCCAGAUGUGGCCCCACGCCCCCGGCCCCAGGUGUGCCCGGGCCGGCGCCCCCAAGGGAACUGCGGGCUGGCCGGUUAAAAGCAAAACAAAACAAAAAUCAGAGCCCAGGGGAAAACAAUCGGAUUGGAAAAGGUGCAGGGGACAUGAGAACAAAAUGAACAAGGCCCUGCCAGCCCUGUUUUACAGAUGAAUGAGCAGAAACCCUGAAAGGAGGAAGCCUACUAGAAAGAGCUGUCACAUGGCAAAAAUGAGAUGCUUUGCCCCUCUUGAUUGAGGGUACUGCUCGGCCUCCUUUCCCCCUCACUCGGGCCCUUGUGCUGACCCUUGGCUUCCCAGGGCCUGAAUGGAGUUCCCAUCCAGGGUUAUCUUCCUCCGCCUGAUGCCCUUUUCUUCUUCAAGAGUCAAACCUAAAUGAGCUGCCACUCAAAAAAGGAUCUGAAACACGUCCACACUAAUGUAUGAAAAACAACUGCUUUGCUUCCAAUCUACACUUUAAUCUGAGACAACCCUUGGAACAACAGUCUAGGGCAACCAUUAUUGGGCCUAUGUGGGAAAUCCUUUUGGGCAGGAGGCUUUGCCAACGUGGUGCCUCCUGUUUUUGUGCUUCAGAGGGAACAAAGGUCUCCCUGAGUCACUGUUAAAGGCCUGAGUCACAAUCGGAGGCCAGCCUCCUUUUCAAAUCAGUGGGUAUUCCACAGUGGAUUGCUCAGACUCAGCUGCUCUCACCGCACCCCAAAACCAGGUUGUAACAAGUGAUCUCCUUCCAAGUGUUUUCUCAUUCUGUUUUUCUUCCUUGGUCAUUUGAUGGUGGGACCACUGGGCAAAUGAGCCUAAAUGCAAUCCAGUACCCUCAUUUGUUGUUAGAACUCGUGGAAAUGAAAUGACCAAUAAAACCUUGGUCUUCAGUGACAUAAGGAAAAAGGAAGCUGCCAGUCUUGCUUGGCUGGGAUAAAAUCUCAAUUUUUUUGUCUGUUUUGCCAAUUUGUUCCUCCUUUGUCUAUAAAAGAAGUUGAAACAAAAGAACCUAUUAGCUUUAAAAGACACUAUGGCCUUAAUCAUUCCUUUUUCUAGGAUUUCUCUUUUUUAGUGGCUCUGUGUUCUUUCUGAGGAGGGUUCUUUCUUUCCCUCCCCCCAAGGUUUGAUAUACAGAGAAAAGUAUUUUUAGGUUAUUUCUCUUAAUUGCUUUCGCAGUGCUAAAAAUAACAUGGUUCCUAGAAGGCUGCCCCAAACACAAGUCAACUCGACAGGGCCACUUCCCUGACCACAAAGGAUGACCAGGACCUUCCUCCACAAGCAGCGUUUCCAGUCCAGCUGAUGAGAGCUGGUCUGUCCCCGACAUUAGAUCACAGAUUUAAGAACCAGAAAACACCUAAGAAAUCAUCUCAAGCCUCUUCAUUUUACAGACGAGCAAACGGGGGCCCAAGGAGACAUGAUCUGCCCAAUGUCACACCAAGGUGAGAUUCUGAACCCAUGCCCAGAACCCAUGCAGGCUUCUUUUUGUGCCUUGUAAAAUGCUGCCUGGCAGUUUUCAGAAGAAAUCCAAACUUUCUGUAGUCAUAUGCAAAAGUGCUCUAAAUCACUAAUGAUUAGAGAAAUGCAAAUUAGAACUCUUGAGGUACCACUUUACAUCUA